AAAGGGCGCGUAGGCGGAUUGAUCAGUCAGACGUGAAAUUCCUGGGCUUAACCUGGGGGCUGCGUUUGAGACGGUUGAUCUAGAGUGGGGAAGAGGGUCGUGGAAUUCCCAGUGUAGAGGUGAAAUUCGUAGAUAUUGGGAAGAACACCGGUGGCGAAGGCGGCGACCUGGUCCUUGACUGACGCUGAGGCGCGAAAGCGUGGGGAGCAAACAGGAUUAGAUACCCGAGU
rnacentral:rRNA from 1 species